rnacentral:rRNA from 1 species
GAUAUGGCUCAGGACGAACGCUGGCGGCGUGCUUAACACAUGCAAGUCGAACGAGAAUCUGUGGAUCGAGGAUUCGUCCAAGUGAAGCAGAGGACAGUGGCGGACGGGUGAGUAACGCGUGAGGAACCUGCCUUUCAGAGGGGGACAACAGUUGGAAACGACUGCUAAUACCGCAUGAUACAUUUGGGUGGCAUCAUCUGAAUGUCAAAGAUUUAUCGCUGAAAGA